rnacentral:rRNA from 1 species
GAGCGUNUCCGGAUUUAUUGGGCGUAAAGCGAGCNCAGGCGGUUAGAUAAGUCUGAAGUUAAAGGCUGUGGCUUAACCAUAGUACGCUUUGGAAACUGUUUAACUUGAGUGCAAGAGGGGAGAGUGGAAUUCCAUGUGUAGCGGUGAAAUGCGUAGAUAUAUGGAGGAACACCGGUGGCGAAAGCGGCUCUCUGGCUUGUAACUGACGCUGAGGCUNGAAAGCGUGGGGAGCAAACAGGAUUAGAUAUCCUGGUAGUNCACGCCGUAAACGAUGAGUGCUAGGUGUUAGACCCUUUCCGGGGUUUAGUGCCGCAGCUAACGCAUUAAGCACUCCGCCUGGGGAGUACGACCGCAAGGUUGAAACUCAAAGGAAUUGACGGGGGCCCGCACAAGCGGCGGAGCAUGUGGUUUAAUUCGAAGCAACGCGAAGAACCUUACCAGGUCUUGACAUCCCUCUGACCGCUCUAGAGAUAGAGUUUUCCUUCGGGACAGAGGUGACAGGUGGUGCAUGGUUGUCGUCAGCUCGUGUCGUGAGAUGUUGGGUUANNNNNNNNNANCGAGCGCAACCCCUAUUGUUAGUUGCCAUCAUUUAGUUGGGCACUCUAGCGAGACUGCCGGUAAUAAACCGGAGGAAGGUGGGGAUGACGUCAAAUCAUCAUGCCCCUUAUGACCUGGGCUACACACGUGCUACAAUGGCUGGUACAACGAGUCGCAAGCCCGUGACGGCAAGCUAAUCUCUUAAAGCCAGUCUCAGUUCGGAUUGUAGGCUGCAACUCGCCUACAUGAAGUCGGAAUCGCUAGUAAUCGCGGAUCAGCACGCCGCGGUGAAUACGUUCCCGGGCCU